UACGUAGGGCGCAAGCGUUGUCCGGAACUAUUGGGCGUAAAGAGCUCGUAGGCGGCCUGUUAAGUCCGCUGUGAAAUCCCGGGGCUCAACCCCGGGCCUGCAGUGGAUACGGGCUGGCUAGAGGCAGGCAGGGGAGAACGGAAUUCCUGGUGUAGCGGUGAAAUGCGCAGAUAUCGGGAGGAACACCGGUGGCGAAGGCGGUUCUCUGGGCCUGUACUGACGCUGAGGAGCGAAAGCGUGGGGAGCGAACAGG
rnacentral:rRNA from 1 species